rnacentral:rRNA from 1 species
AAUAUUGCACAAUGGGCGCAAGCCUGAUGCAGCCAUGCCGCGUGUAUUGAAGAAGGCCUUCGGGUUGUAAAGUACUUUCAGCAGUGAGGAAGGUGGGUAUGUUAAUAGCAUAUUCAUUUGACGUUUAGCUGCAGAAGAAGCACCGGCUAACUCCGUGCCAGCAGCCGCGGUAAUACGGAGGGUGCGAGCGUUAAUCGGAAUUACUGGGCGUAAAGCGCAUGCAGGUGGUUUGUUAAGUCAGAUGUGAAAGCCCGGGGCUCAACCUCGGAAUUGCAUUUGAAACUGGCAAACUAGAGUACUGUAGAGGGGGUAGAAUUUCAGGUGUAGCGGUGAAAUGCGUAGAGAUCUGAAGGAAUACCGGUGGCGAAGGCGGCCCCCUGGACAGAUACUGACACUCAGAUGCGAAAGCGUGGGGAGCAAACAGGAUUAGAUACCCUGGUAG